rnacentral:rRNA from 1 species
GAUGAACGCUGGCGGCGUGCCUAAUACAUGCAAGUCGAGCGAACGGACGAGAAGCUUGCUUCUCUGAUGUUAGCGGCGGACGGGUGAGUAACACGUGGAUAACCUACCUAUAAGACUGGGAUAACUUCGGGAAACCGGAGCUAAUACCGGAUAAUAUUUUGAACCGCAUGGUUCAAAAGUGAAAGACGGUCUUGCUGUCACUUAUAGAUGGAUCCGCGCUGCAUUAGCUAGUUGGUAAGGUAACGGCUUACCAAGGCAACGAUGCAUAGCCGACCUGAGAGGGUGAUCGGCCACACUGGAACUGAGACACGGUCCAGACUCCUACGGGAGGCAGCAGUAGGGAAUCUUCCGCAAUGGGCGAAAGCCUGGCGGAGCAACGCCGCGUGAGUGAUGAAGGUCCUCGGAUCGUAAAACUCUGUUAUUAGGGAAGAACAUAUGUGUAAGUAACUGUGCACAUCUUGACGGUACCUAAUCAGAAAGCCACGGCUAACUACGUG